GCCUGGGUGGCUUGGUCGGUUAAGCGUCUGACUUCGGCUCAGGUCGUGAUCUCACAGUCCGUGAGUUCGAGCCCCGCGUCGGGCU
rnacentral:tRNA from 1 species